rnacentral:miRNA from 1 species
AUGAGUGGAUCAAGAAGGUGUGGUAUAUGUAUGUGUGUAUAUAUAUAUAUAUAUAUAUACACACACACACACACACACACACACACACACACACAC